UACGUAGGCAGCGAGCGUUGUUCGGAGUUACUGGGCGUAAAGGGUGUGUAGGCGGUUGUUUAAGUUUGGUGUGAAAUCUCCCGGCUCAACUGGGAGGGUGCGCCGAAAACUGGGGGGCUAGAGUACUGGAUGGGAGAGUGGAAUUCCUGGUGUAGCGGUGAAAUGCGUAGAUAUCAGGAGGAACACCUGUGGUGUAGACGGCUCUCUGGACAGUAACUGACGCUGAGACACGAAAGCGUGGGUAGCAAACAGG
rnacentral:rRNA from 1 species